AGAACGAACGCUGGCGGCAUGCCUAAUACAUGCAAGUCGAACGAACACUUCGGUGUUAGUGGCGCACGGGUGCGUAACGCGUGGGAAUCUGCCCUUGGGUUCGGAAUAACAGUUGGAAACGACUGCUAAUACCGGAUGAUAUCGAAAGAUCAAAGAUUUAUCGCCCAGGGAUGAGCCCGCGUAGGAUUAGCUAGUUGGUGAGGUAAAGGCUCACCAAGGCGACGAUCCUUAGCUGGUCUGAGAGGAUGAUCAGCCACACUGGGACUGAGACACGGCCCAGACUCCUACGGGAGCAGCAGUAGGGAAUAUGGACAAUGGGCGCAAGCCUGAUCCAGCAAUGCGCGUGAGUGAUGAAGGCCUUAGGGUUGUAAAGCUCUUUACCCGAGAUGAUAAUGACAGUAUCGGGAAGAAUAAGCCCCGGCUAAACUCCGUGCCAAGCAGCCGAC
rnacentral:rRNA from 1 species